UGAGGAAUAUUGGUCAAUGGGCGAGAGCCUGAACCAGCCAAGUAGCGUGCAGGAUGACGGCCCUAUGGGUUGUAAACUGCUUUUAUGCGGGGAUAAAGUGUGCGACGUGUCGUGCAUUGCAGGUACCGCAUGAAUAAGGACCGGCUAAUUCCGUGCCAGCAGCCGCGGUAAUACGGAAGGUCCGGGCGUUAUCCGGAUUUAUUGGGUUUAAAGGGAGCGUAGGCCGCCAGAUAAGCGUGUUGUGAAAUGUACCGGCUCAACCGGUGAAUUGCAGCGCGAACGGUUUGGCUUGAGUGCACGGUAAGCAGGCGGAAUUCAUGGUGUAGCGGUGAAAUGCUUAGAUAUCAUGAGGAACACCGAUUGCGAAGGCAGCUUGCUGAAGUGCGACUGACGCUGAUGCUCGAAGGUGCGGGUAACAAACAGG
rnacentral:rRNA from 1 species